CUCGCAUCGGAAUUCCUUCGAAGAAAGUUUCGCCAAGAAACGAAAGUUACAAGCGACUGUGUCACCUUUUAGUCGCACCUAAUAUUUAAACCUAUUUGCAUAAAAAAUGAAUCACCACUCUGUAAUUGUCAGAAGAAAAACUGUUGGCUAGCCAAGGCUCGUUCGGAGGAAUCCGCGUGAAUCCCGAUGCGUCGUCGUAACGGACCGCGACGACGACGUCGACCACGUCGACCACGCCGAGUGCAAAUCAACAGGUCGUACACCAUAGCAGCAAGCAAACCGAAUACUUUCUCUCCGAGACGCGCCCCAUAAAAAUUCUCCCCGUUGCGUUCGCGUCGUUCGUUAAUCGGUCUGGCGUCUGGAAGCGGCCGGAUCGUGGAAACUGGAGAAGCAAACCGGAAAGCCAACCUCGUAAUCAGCGAUAUCUGCUCAGGAGUUGGUUAAACAGCGAAUAAUUACCCACCACAGAAGAUUCCACGAGAUUCCGUGUGAUUCCGUGUAAUUGACUGCACGCGAGAAAAUUACGAGACUCGCUUCCUAGACGAUAAAAAUAAUUGUCGUCUACGAGGGGAACUCUAUCCAGCCAUCGUUGCGUUAAUACACCUGGGAAGUUAUGUUUUUUUUUUUCAACGCAACCUACUCCUCGUUAAUUUCUUUCCGUCCAAAACUUUUUCAUCAAUUUUAAUAACGUCACAACUGAAAUUCAGACGUUUCUUUUCCUCGUUCCAUAACCUAAGUGAUAUUUAAAAAAUGUUGCAAUUCAUUGAGGAUUGCGAUCAGUCUCGUUUCACGUCGACUCGUUCGAAUAAAUCUACGCUCGCUUAUUUAGAAAAAAGGCGUAGAUUGUCGGGGCCGUAGACGAGAUCAGAAUGUCAUCGAUUUCGAGCCCUCGUUUUUUGCACUCCACACGGUCCCAGAUUUUAAUCAAAUUAUGUAAAGUUUGUUUGUCCGCACGUGGAUCCAUCGAAGGUCUUCUCGGAACGAAGACUCGGAUCUUUCGAUUCAAAUAACAUUAACUUGAAAGUUUUAUAAUACCUUCUUCUACCGGAUAUCGUGUAAAGGAGAGGAAAAAUUUAAUUCCCUUCUUCUUAUUAGCCUAAAAAGCCUCGAUUUCCCCUGAUUUGAUAAAGGAAGAAGCCGAAUUGGCUCGACGAGGAUUCGCUGAAAGCGGCUGGAUCGGGAAGAUGAGGCGGACGCGUUAUCUCUUCGAGACGCGACGCGACGGCUGGAGUUUCAUCGCUAAGUUACGUAGUAGAAAUUUCGUAAAACUGGAGGGUCUCGCAUUUUCGCUCGAUAUCUGACGCCCCAACCGGUGGAAAUUUGAUUUCCUAGACAAGGUAUGCUUAUACAGCGGCCAACAUCGCAACCGGCUACUAUUCGAGCCUAGAAUCAACAGAAACGAAAGCAAACACGACGAGACGAGACGAGACGGUUGCCCUUGAUCCGAAUCCUCUGUUUUCUCGAUCAAUCACUUUCAUUCCGUUAUAUUUUACGCGAUUUCCAGGAAAAUCGUACGAAAAUUUACGGAUCUAUUGUUUAUCAAAAGUUACUCGAAGAUCAUGAAAUAGACAUUAUUACGAGGAUCGAAGACGGUUCUGCGCAAAACAGACGAUCGUGUACGUACAUUCGACAGGCGGACACGCAAUUUGCAUUUUUCAAAACGAUCUCGUAACACGCCCAACUGUCUACGGCCUUGAUCAUUCUGCAGACCUCCUCUAUUUUUCUGAUCUACGUAGUAGAAGUUAAGCAAGCCAGUUUUAGGUAGCUGGCACACGGCCAAACCCGAUGAGAAUAGCGAAAUCCGAAGAGUAUAACUUGUGGAUAAACAUCGGCGUUACACAGGCCCGUUCUCUUCAAACCACGUCAUGUUUAACCACUCGGCUUAGAAAAGCAUCGAACAACUAGCUUACUCAUGGUUCAGAAAAAUCUCCGAUACCCAAACUAUCGUGUAGAGAUUGAAAAUCCAAUAUAUGGAUGGUGCUAUUUGUAAUUUCACAUAUAAUCGUUCAUCCGAAGAUAUCGUAUCUGAGCUAAGGAAUAACGCGAUCCCCAUAGAGGAAUUCAACGGGCGGAAAUGAGUGGAAACAGUAAACCAGAGGAUGGGGCCGUCUGCAUCCAAGACCGUCUUCGGAUACACGAGAACCGAAGAAAAUUGAAGAACGAUCCGCAGACGAUGCUCUGCCUCUUCCUGUUCCUCUUGUUUCUUAACGGCUCAUCUUGCCUCUUGAUGCUAUAUCGCCGAACGGCACGUGGAUUCUGCGGACAUUUCUGAAAGAUGCAUCCGUCACACGAAUCUUCCUAACAGAUGGACAUUUUUUUGCAUUUGAUAUUCUCAGAAUGUUGCGAAUUACGAUUACUAGCGCGUGCAACUGAUCGUGGUACAAUAAAUAAACGGAGGUAAGUUUCAUGGAAUAAGUGGCGUUAAAUCACGCUCGAUGGCAAUUUAAUGCAUCUCUAAUUGGAAAUUCUCUGGGAACAUGUAGCAAUUGACUAACUGUAAAUAAAAGUAUUCCUCUUAUCGAUAUUCUGCAACAA